rnacentral:rRNA from 1 species
UAAGACGAACCGUCCGAACGUUAUUCGGAAUCACUGGGCUUAAAGGGUGCGUAGGCGGCGCGGAAAGUUGGGUGUGAAAUCCCUCGGCUUAACCGAGGAACGGCGCCCAAAACUACCGUGCUCGAGGGAGAUAGAGGUGAGCGGAACUUAGGGUGGAGCGGUGAAAUGCGUUGAUAUCCUAAGGAACACCGGUGGCGAAAGCGGCUCACUGGAUCUCUUCUGACGCUGAUGCACGAAAGCUAGGGUAGCGAACGGGAUUAGAUACCCCGGUAGUCCUAGCCGUAAACGAUGAGCACUGGAUUGGAGGGUCCUCCAUAGCCUUCCGGUCGCAACGAAAGCGUUAAGUGCUCCGCCUGGGGAGUAUGGUCGCAAGGCUG